rnacentral:rRNA from 1 species
AUACGGAAGGUCCGGGCGUUAUCCGGAUUUACUGGGUUUAAAGGGAGCGCAGGCGGAGAUGCAAGCGUGACGUCAAAUUUCGGGGCUCAACCCCGUCUCGCGUCGCGAACUGCGUCCCUUGGUUGCGGGAAGGGGAGGCGGAACUCGUGGUGUAGCGGUGAAAUGCAUAGAUAUCACGAAGAACUCCGAUCGCGAAGGCAGCCUUCCGGCCCGUCAACGACGCUCAUGCUCGAAGGUGCGGGUAUCAAACAGGAUUAGAUACCCUGGUAGUCCGCACAGUAAACGAUGGACACCCGCGGUUUGGCCUGUAUGGCUGAGCCGCCAAGCGAAAGCGUUAAGUGUCCCACCUGGGGAGUACGCUGGCAACGGUGAAACUCAAAUGAAUUGACGGGG